rnacentral:lncRNA from 1 species
CCGUUUCUCUCUAAAUUCUCUCUAGUAUUUCCAAGCUUCCAUCAAUAGGCUUGAGUGUACUUGGUGUGAACACUUAAUUAGUUCGUUCGCAUUGAUUGCUUGUAACAACUAUAUAUUGUCGAGAAGUACGAAGAAUCGUAGUAGCUGUGUUCGUGGUGUCGUUUGUAGAUUUGGCAUUCGAUUUAACCUUUCGCUUCGUGGAUACUUACCGAUUCAUAUGUAAGUAUUAUUUAUGUGUUAGUUUUCACCUAAAAUUCUAACAUUUGUAUCAGAGCCAUGCUAUGCCUGAUCUCGCAUAAAUAUUUUGUCAUUAUUUUUUAUUUUUUGCAUAUAAAGCUUGUAAUAUGAAAUUAAUGGCAUAAUAUGCUAGAGUACAUAUUAGAGGCUAAAAAUACAGUAUGGUGUAGUCCAUAUGCAUGUUUAGACACCUGCAAAAUUUCGUUGUAAUCGGAUUUGAAUUUUGAGAGAAAACACGAAC